GACGGCAACAUUAUAAUGACGGGAAACGGUCUUUUUCAGCUGUUAAUCUGCUCGUCCCUGUUCGUCGGAUACUUUUUCGACGACUGUCCUUGUUCAUCCGAGGGAUUCCCUGUCUGUGGAUCCGAUGGCAACACGUAUCCGAACGAGUGCACGGCUAUACUCUGCAAUGAUGUGUAUUAUACUACAGCUGGGGCAUGUGGGU